GCAUAUAUAAAUGAACAAAAUAAUGAAAAAAGGGAGAAUUGUAAAGAAUUCCGUGAACUUUAAAUUCAAGGCCAAAAUUGCGGAACUGGAAGCAAAGCUGAAAUGGAUAUUUUUUUUCUCCAUUUUAGGCUUAAAGGAGCAGUCAAUUCUUUUCUUUCGGUUUUCCUUUCUUUAUAACAUAUGUAUCUUAAAGGGACACAAUAGUCAUCAGAAC